GGUGACAGCAGAAGUACUGUCAGUCUGUGCAGGCUGACUAGAGAGACGGCUCAGAGUGAGACAUCCCUCAACCGCCAGACCCCAGAUUCUCCCCGGCAGGAUACCCACUCUCACUCCUACCACCUCUCCCACCGCCAUCAGCUGCUGCGUUCUCUGAGGAGCCGUCCCCACGCCUUCCAGGCACACAGAUUCCAGCAGGACCAACGCGAUGCGGGAGCUGGCCUGGCCAUCCCUUCCUCGCGUCUCCCUGCUCCCCUGACCCUGGAGAGUAAACCCCUUCCUCGAUUCCACCCCGAAACUCAGUGCACCUGCCCUGGAGCCGACCAUGCAUCCAGCCAUGCCACAGCCAACAAGGCGCCCCGGAGUGUGCAGAGAGGGUGGGCUUUACACCUGCGGAUACUUGAGGAUGUGAUCCAGCCUGGCAGGACACCUCAAAGGUCCCAGCCUAGCCUGAGAGUGUGGUCGCGGCAUUUCCCUCUCAAGUGGGGCUCCUGCAACCCGGGUGUUGGCUGUCAGGUGCCAUCAUGCUCAGAGAAAAAUAUAAAACAAGAAGCAGACCUGGUUCAAACCCGUGAACAGUGUGCUGGGAUUUCAGGCUUUACCGUCACUUUGUGACAGAAGGACGCAGCCUACCCCUGGGCACGAGCCUUCCUGAGGAAGACGUGAUGUCUCUCCUCCUGCCACUGGGAUGGCUCAGGGGUAAGUCACUGCUCCUGCUGUUAGACAUAUUUUCCAUGUAGAAGAUAUGGAGCCUGGAAACCGUGCUGAGACUGGCGUAGGCCAUUCCCAAUCCCAUGCCGGAACCAAAGGAUGCCCGGCCCCCAGGGGCUGCCCCGCUGGGAGCGGGCCCAGCGCACUGGUCUCCCCAGGACCAAGCCCGAUGGGGUAGUUGGGGAGAGCCUGCGUGUGCAGGCAUGGGGCCGUCCCGGCUCAGCCCUUGCAGUCCUCACUGACCGGCAGGGUGGGCCACCACAGCCCUUGAGGCUCCAGUGAAAAUUGCUCUGAUGGCCUUGGCCAGCAGGCUGCGACCUGGGGCCCCGGACCCGGGUAGCCUGGAGCCCCCCAAACUCCGGGCAGGGCUGACAAUGGUGUUGUAACAAGCCCGCCAGCGGAUUCUGAUGCACCAUAGGUUGAAUCGCGGCUCUAGGCCAGGAUUAGCAAACUUUCUGCAAAGGGCCAGAAAGUAAAUGCUUUAGGCUUUAAGGGCCACGUACAGCCUCUGUCGUAUGUUGUUCUGAUUCUGAUGCUUACUAACAUGUGAGAACCACUGGCCUAGAAAAUGAAGAGAUGGGCCUGGACCCUUUGGGAAGGACUUGGGAGAGAAGGGUAAACUAACAAACAGCAGGACUGAGGGAAUGGGGAGCCAGCGACAGUUCCAGAGAGGCAUGCUGCGGCUGCCGGUGGGCCGCCCUUGUGAGGGGUGCUGGUGCUGGGCCUGCCCUCCUGAGGUCUCGCUCCCUUCAUUCCAGUGUGGGGCUUCCAUGGCCCCAUCUGCCACCCUGGAACUGGCACGCUUCUAGAGAAUAGGAUCAUGCAGGUCUACUUUAUAGGGUGCGACCUGGGCAAUCACAAAGGGUCCCAUUUUGCAAGGCUUUGCACAAAUUUUGUAGCCAGU
rnacentral:lncRNA from 1 species